GAAAAACUUCGAUUGUCACCGAGGGAGGCUUUGCGAGAAACACUUCACGAUGGAUCAGUAUGAGCCAGCAAUUCUGGCACAAACUGGCAUCAAGAAACUCAACCCAAAUGCGGUUCCUUCUAUAUUUGCGCAUCGGCCUCUUCCGAAAGAGCGCAAGCCACCCCGCAAAAGGGGGAAUGAAACGGUUCCUGCUGCCUCCUGGGACCAGCCAGGAACGUCCACAAGGGUGACCCCUCAACCAGUGGG